rnacentral:rRNA from 1 species
ACGCUAAAGCUCGAAGGUGCGGGUAUCGAACAGGAUUAGAUACCCUGGUAGUCCGCACGGUAAACGAUGGAUGCCCGCUGUUUGCGAUACACUGUGAGCGGCCAAGCGAAAGCGUUAAGCAUCCCACCUGGGGAGUACGCCGGCAACGGUGAAACUCAAAGGAAUUGACGGGGGCCCGCACAAGCGGAGGAACAUGUGGUUUAAUUCGAUGAUACGCGAGGAACCUUACCCGGGCUUGAACUGCCGGUGAACGAUACAGAGAUGUUGAGGUCCUUCGGGACGCCGGUGGAGGUGCUGCAUGGUUGUCGUCAGCUCGUGCCGUGAGGUGUCGGCUUAAGUGCCAUAACGAGCGCAACCCCUCUCCGUAGUUGCCAUCGGGUGAUGCCGGGCACUCUGCGGACACUGCCACCGUAAGGUGCGAGGAAGGUGGGGAUGACGUCAAAUCAGCACGGCCCUUACGUCCGGGGCUACACACGUGUUACAAUGGGUGGUACAGAGAGCCGGGAGUACGCAAGUGCCCCCUAAUCAUGAAAUCCAUCCUCAGUUCGGACUGGGGUCUGCAACCCGACCCCACGAAGCUGGAUUCGCUAGUAAUCGCGC